rnacentral:rRNA from 1 species
UGCGUAGGCGGCCAGAUAAGUAGGGUGUGAAAGCCCCCGGCUCAACCGGGGAAUGGCGCUCUAAACUGUCUGGCUGGAGUGAGAUAGGGGUGUGCGGAACUUCCGGUGGAGCGGUGAAAUGUGUUGAUAUCGGAAGGAACGCCGGUGGCGAAAGCGGCACACUGGAUCUCAACUGACGCUGAGGCACGAAAGCCAGGGGAAGGCAAAACG